GCUGUAUUGGAGCUACGGAAAGGCCGGAUCGAGCAGGGGAAAGCUUUUCUGCAGACGGCUGCUUCAUUGUCUCCUCACAUGUAUGAACCACAUUUUAACUUCGCCACACUCUCUGAUAAGGUUGGAGAUCUUCAGAGUAGUUACACGGCUGCUCAGAAAUCAGAGGAUGCGUUUCCUGAGCAUGUGGACACUCAGCAGAUCCUGAAAAACCUCAGACAGCAUUUUGCCACUCUAUAAGAUGAUUAACUCUAAUAUCA